rnacentral:rRNA from 1 species
GGGGAAUUUUGGACAAUGGGGGCAACCCUGAUCCAGCCAUCCCGCGUGUGCGAUGAAGGCCUUCGGGUUGUAAAGCACUUUUGGCAGGGAAGAAACAGCCUGGGCUAAUAUCCCGGGCGACUGACGGUACCUGCGGAAUAAGCACCGGCUAACUACGUGCCAGCAGCCGCGGUAAUACGUAGGGUGCAAGCGUUAAUCGGAAUUACUGGGCGUAAAGCGUGCGCAGGCGGUUCGGAAAGAAAGGUGUGAAAUCCCAGGGCUUAACCUUGGAACUGCACUUUUAACUACCGGGCUAGAGUACGUCAGAGGGGGGUAGAAUUCCACGUGUAUCAGUGAAAUGCGUAGAGAUGUGGAGGAAUACCGAUGGCGAAGGCAGCCCCCUGGGAUGAUACUGACGCUCAUGCACGAAAGCGUGGGGAGCAAACA